rnacentral:lncRNA from 1 species
CCUCCACAGUGGGUUGGAGGAGCGGUUUGUUCUUUCGCCUCCUGUUCCUCAGUCGGAGCUUGGAUCCUCUGUUUGAACAGGACAGGGACGCUGGCUCUGAUGAGACGUGUGCUCUAGCCGGAAUGUCUGUGUCUCCCCUGAAAUCCAGAUGUUGAAAUCCUGGUCCCCAGUGUGAUGGUCUCAGGAGGUGGGGCCUUCAGAAGGUGAUGAGGGCGGGCAGGUGGAGCCCUCAGGACUAGGAUUAGUGCCCUUAUCAAAGAGACCCCAGAGAGCUCUCUCAUCCCUUCAUCACCUGAGGACACAGCAAGAAGCCGACCUCCUGUGAACCAGGCAGUGGCCCUCCACACAUGCCCAAUCUGCUGGCACUUUGAUCUUGGACUUCCCAGCCUCCGGAACUGUGAGAAAUGCACGCUUGUUGUUUAAGCCGCUCAGUCUGUGGUAUCCUGCCACAGCAGCCCGGACAGACGAAGGCGAGGUUUUCUAUACUCAGGGGGAGUGACUUCUACAAUGAGAGAAUAUAUUUUACCAUAUAUGAAACCCAGGUCCACAAACCCAGGACAACCCAAGAAGAGACCUUGACAAGACGAUUCCGAGAGGCAGAAAUACAAGAUGCGAAGGAACCUAGGCAGCUCCGGAGGAGAAAGGCCAACUGGAAAAGCAAACGGGCCUUGCCGGCAGGCAGGGAAUUUUCCGAAGGGGGCGCGCUGAAGGCUGCAGCCGGCCCGGGAGCGGCCCAGCCCGCGCAGACGCAGAAAGAAGCCGCCCUCUCCACGGACAAGGCUCCGCGCAGUUUUUUCAAGCACGAAGGGCGGGGCAGGAGGGCGGCUGGUCGGCUGCACGGCGCAACACUGCCACCUGCAGACCAGAGAAACCCCACGCCACCCACCCCAGCGAAAACUCCAUCUUUUCCGCGGCCGUUCCGCGCAACGACCUGGAGCUCGUGGCUCAGGAAGGCCGGCGGGAGGGAGAUGAGGACCACGGAAAGGAAGAGAAGCGGCCAGAGCGGCCCCGGCAACCGGGCUGGGGCACCGCCGCCUUCCCGGCCCCGG